rnacentral:rRNA from 1 species
GGGCCCGCACAAGCGGUGGAGCAUGUGGUUUAAUUCGAUGCAACGCGAAGAACCUUACCUACUCUUGACAUCCAGAGAAGCCAGCGGAGACGCAGGUGUGCCUUCGGGAACUUUGAGACAGGUGCUGCAUGGCUGUCGUCAGCUCGUGUUGUGAAAUGUUGGGUUAAGUCCCGCAACGAGCGCAACCCUUAUCCUUGUUUGCCAGCGAGUAAUGUCGGGAACUCCAGGGAGACUGCCGGUGAUAAACCGGAGGAAGGUGUGGAUGACGUCAAGUCAUCAUGCCCCUUACAUCCUGGGCUACACACGUACUACAAUGCUACGGACAAAGGGCUGCAAGUUCGCGAGGACAAGCAAAUCCCAUAAACCGUGGCUCAGUUCAGAUCGUAGGCUGCAACUCGCCUACGUGAAGGCGGAAUCGCUAGUAAUCGCAGGUC